AUUGAACGCUGGCGGCAUGCCUUACACAUGCAAGUCGAACGGUAACAGGUCUUCGGAUGCUGACGAGUGGCGAACGGGUGAGUAAUACAUCGGAACGUGCCCGAGAGUGGGGGAUAACGAGGCGAAAGCUUUGCUAAUACCGCAUACGAUCUCAGGAUGAAAGCAGGGGACCGCAAGGCCUUGCGCUCACGGAGCGGCCGAUGGCAGAUUAGGUAGUUGGGGGGAUAAAAGCUUACCAAGCCGACGAUCUGUAGCUGGUCUGAGAGGACGACCAGCCACACUGGGACUGAGACACGGCCCAGACUCCUACGGGAGGCAGCAGUGGGGAAUUUUGGACAAUGGGCGCAAGCCUGAUCCAGCCAUGCCGCGUGCAGGAUGAAGGCCUUCGGGUUGUAAACUGCUUUUGUACGGAACGAAAAGACUCUGGUUAAUACCUGGGGUCCAUGACGGUACGGUAAGAAUAAGCACCGGCUAACUACGUGCCAGCCGCCGCCGUAACAC
rnacentral:rRNA from 1 species